UUUAUUUAUUAUUAUAUGUAAGUACACUGUUGCUUUCUUCCGACACGCUAGAAGAGGGAGUCAGAUCUCAUUACAGAUGGUUGUGAGCCACCAUGUGGUUGCUGGGAUUUGAACUCAGGGCCUUUGGAAGAGCAGUCAGUGCUCUUAACCGCUGAGCCAUCUCACCAGCCCCCCCCAAGGCAACUCUUAUAAGGACAACAUUUAAUUGGGGCUGGCUUACAGGUUCAGAGGUUCAGUCCAUUAUUAUCAAGGUAGGAAGCAUGGCAGCAUCCCGGUAGGCAUGGUGCAGGAGGAGCUGAGAGUUUUGAAGGCUGCUAGUGGAAGACUCCAUUCCAGGCAACUAGGAUAAGGAUCUUAAAGCCCACACCCACAGUGCCACACCUACUUCAUUCUAAUAGUGCCACUCCCUGGGCUGAGCAUAUACAAAGCAUCACAAAGUCCCCAAAGAAACACAUAACCUUUGGCUAGUACACCCAUAUCCUUCUUUUUUUUUUUUUUUAAGAUUUAUUUAUUUAUUAUAUGUAAGUACUCUGUAGCUGUCCUCAGAUACUCCAGAAGAGGGCAUCAGAUUUCGUUAUGGAUGGUUGUGAGCCACCAUGUGGUUGCUGGGAUUUGACCUUUGGAAGAACAGUCGCUCUUAACCAUUGAGCCAUCUCACCAGCCCUCCACCCACAUCCUUUUUAACCCCAGUACUGGACAACUAUAGACCUACUCUGUAUCUCAUAUGAAUUUUUCUCUUCAAAGACUUUUAUAUGUAUGGAAUCAGAUAAUAUAUGGUCUUCUGUGACUGGCUUCUUUCAAUGACAAGUCUCCUUCAUUCUCCAUUCAAAUAUGGACAUGUAUCCCUGAAUAGAUGCACACUUUGCUCGUCCCAUCAUCAUUUGAGAGGGCCUCUGAGUUAUUUCUACUUUGGACCUCUUAUAAACAGUAUUGCUGUGAGUACUGGCUGUGUAGGGAUUUUUUUUUUUUCAUCCAUUUUGGAUGUACACCUAGGAGCAAAAUUGCUGGUCAAGUCCCUAAACUUUUGGAUAAUUGAAGAUUGAUUGUUUCCUAAAGAUCCAUACCAGUUUACACUCUUGCGAGCCAUGCCCCAGUCUCUCAGGAUCCUUGCCAGCAUGUGCUUUUGCCUGACUCUCUUUUCAUGAAGUGUUGUGGAUGAGAUGGUCUCACGAUGAUACACUGUAGUUUAAAUUCUUCCUUGAAGAAAUGGGGUUGAGUUCCCUAUCAGAUUUGUUAGCCAUUCAGAGAUGUUCUUUCAUGAAGUUUCCACUUAAGCCUUUAAUGUUUUCUUUCCCCGUUGAAGUAUUUGCUUCUCCACUCCCUUUUAUGGUUCUGGGCCCAAACCCAAGACUUCAUUUAUGCCAAGUGAGUGCUUUACCACUCAACUGUGUCCUCAGCUUUUCUACAAUCUUCUUAUUGAUUCUAAAGACCUCUUUACAUAUUGUAGACAUCAGCCCUUUAUUUGGAUGUGUUUUGUAAAUAUUCUACACGCCCCCAAGUUGUACAUGUAUGCAUGCCUUCUUCCUUCUCUCCUUCCUUCCAUUCUUCUGUCCUUCUUUUCUUCCUUUCUCCCUCCCUCCCUCCCUUUCUCCUUUCCUCCCUCAUUCCUUCCCUCCCUUCCUCCUUCCUUUCCUUCUUUCUUGGUCUAUAUGGUAUAGUGGCCCAUGCACGCCAUAUGGAGGCCAGAGGUCAAUGUUAGGUGUCUUUCCCUGUAGCUCCUUACUUUGAUUUUUGAGAUGGCUUCUCUCACUUACCUGUAGUUCACUUUUUCAGAUGGACAGACUUCCCAGUAAGCCCAGGGGCUCCAUCUGGUUCUGACUCUGACAUCUGAGGCCGUGCUACAUACACAACCACCAGCCCUGGCUUUUUCUGUGGGAACUGAGGAACUAAACUAAGAUCCUCACACAGAGAGCAGGCACUUUAUCACCAAGCCUUCUCCCCAGCCUCAGCUUUUAAUCUAUUAAUAAAUCUUUAAACAUGAGUUUCUAAUUUUACUAUGGUCACCUCUGUUUGCUUUUCUUUCUUUUCUCCUUUUCUCUCCUUUCCUCCCCUUCCUCACUGUUGCUGUUGCUUUGGUCAUUGCCCUCUUUAUCUUUCCUUCACAGUUUCUUAGAGGGAAGUCAGAAGUCGCCCACACAAUCUUCACAGACACCAGCUUUACCAUAACAUUUGAAUACAGUGGCAACUUCCUGUCCCGAAGCCUCGCCUUUUCUGGUACUUCUGCCCGAGCAACUGUAGGUAUCCCAGGAACAUCUUGACCGAGUUCCCCGCUUCCACGACACCACGGUGGCAGGUGCCGAACAUCUCCUGGUCACCUGUGAUGUAUCAAAUCCACAAAUAUCUCUGGAGAAACACCUCUGAAGGGCCAACAGGGAUAGUAGCAAGCAGCGGAAACUGUCCCUGAAGCCAAAUGGAGCCUUCCCUUGGUCACCGUGGCUUUUUGGAUCACCACAUUUUCCUAGUUUUUCUACAAAUCAAUUUUCUUCAAGGAGAAGCGUUUGAAUUUUUAGCUGGUACAAACAAACAAACAAACAAACAAACCAACCAACCAACCACCACCAGCCACUGCAGAGGCUACGGAAGCUCACUCAGUCUAAGGUAGCCAGCUUGUGCCUCCGGCGGCCCGGGAAGGUCACUAUGGGAUAGGAAAAGAGUUCACAAAAGUACCGCCUUGCUGCCCUGAGGUAGUAGGGGAGGGAUGAGGAAGAGAGGUCUUCAUAGAAGAGGAGGCCAGGGGUUGGAGAGAUGGCUCAGUGGUUAAGAGCACUGACUGCUCUUCCAAAGGUCUUGAGUUCAAAUCCCAGCCCAGCAACCACAUCGUGGCUUACAACCAUCUGUAAUGAGAUCUGAUGCCCUCUUCUGGUGUGUCUGAAGACAGCUGCAGUGUACUUACAUAAAAUAAUAAAUAAAUCUUA
rnacentral:lncRNA from 1 species